rnacentral:rRNA from 1 species
UACGGGGGGGGUAAGCGUUGUUCGGAAUUACUGGGCGUAAAGGGCUCGUAGGCGGCCAACUAAGUCAUACGUGAAAUCCCUCAGCUUAACUGGGGAGCUGCGUGUGAUACUGGAUGGCUUGGAUUUGGGAGAGGGAUGCGGAAUUCCAGGUGUAGCGGUGAAAUGCGUAGAUAUCUGGAGGAACACCGGUGGCGAAGGCGGCAUCCUGGACCAAUAUUGACGCUGAGGAGCGAAAGCCAGGGGAGCAAACGGG